UUUCUAUAACUUUCCAAGUAUUUCUCCUACAGGUAUUAAUCAAGAAGAGCUAUGACCGUACCAAACGUCAGCGUCGUAGAAACUGGAAACUGAAAGAGCUUGCAAAAGAUAGAGAAAACAUGGAUACAGAUGACGAAAGACAAUACCAAGAUUUCCUUGAAGAUCUUGAAGAAGAUGAGGCAAUUAGAAAGAAUGUCAACAUCUACAGAGAUUCAGCCAUCCCUGUGGAAAGUGACACAGAUGAUGAAGGAGCACCUCGAAUUAGUCUGGCUGAGAUGCUUGAAGACCUUCAUAUUGGCCAGGAUGCCACUGGUGAAGAAGGUGCACCAAUGAUGACAUAAUGAGAUCAAGUUGUAGACAGUUUCCACAUGUGUAGGCUCGGGAAGUUGGACGAAGUAGAUGUACUGUCUCUUCCAUCUAUGCCUCCUUAUUGUGAGAAGAGAAAUUUAGUUUUAAGCCUGAAUAAAUAUGACUAUUUUGAUUGUUUACUCAAAGCACCGAAAAAGAUUAAUGGCUUUGAACUUUAAAUAGUAAAAGAUUAUGGAAGGUGUAAUUAUUACUGAUAUUUAGUCCAUUUUACGUAUGGAAUUACAUCACUCUGCUUUUUUAUAUGACGCACUGUAGCAUUUUCACAUAUUAUAGUGCUGGAUAUCAAAGCUCAAAAGUAAAAAAAAAAUGCUCAAAAGUUGUGAUUCCUUGGAUGUUA